rnacentral:rRNA from 1 species
CCCUUAGAUGUUCUGGGCCGCACGCGUGCUAAACUGGUGAAUACAGCGAGUCUUAACCUUAACCGAAAUGGUUUGGGUAAUCUUGUGAAAGUUCAUCGUGACAGGGAUUGAUCAUUGCAAUUAUUGAUCAUGAACGAGGAAUUCCUAGUAAAGGCGAGUCAUCAUCUCGCUUUGAUUACGUCCCUGCCCUUUGUACACACCGCCCGUCGCUACUACCGAUUGAAUGGUUUAGUGAGAUCUCCGGAUUGGCUUCCUUGGUACCUUCGCGGGUCCAACGUGAAGCCGAGAAGCUGCUCAAACUUGAUCAUUUAGAGGAAGUAAAAGUCGUAACA